ensembl:lncRNA
AGGGGACCCGCGGCCCCGGGCUCGCCCUGCAGCCAAGGGCCCCCCGCAUCGGGGUGGGGGGCGGGGGGGGGGGACGGUAGCAGGCGCAGGAACCGAGAGGGCAGAAGGCAAGGAGGGAUUAAGGCGCCCAGCCUCUGUGGAUCCCACAGAUGCCAGGCAGCAACUGCUUUCCCCGUUUCGUUCCGGUGAACAGAGAAAGGAAAAGAAGAUCCUUUGCCUCCCACCGAGAUAAAAAGGAAGGCGUUCCGACAGAACUCUUCACAGAACUCUUCACCAUCGCCAUCAUCAUCAUCUGCUUUUCUUCUGCUUCGGCGUCAUCCCUUUCUUUUCCUGAUUACAAAAUUCAUACAGGUACCUGAAAAACCAGGAACGUCCAAGAAACUGUCACAGACCAGGUAAUACAGAAAAGAAAAUGCAGAAAAGCACAAAGAAGAAACUAGAAAACAUUUGUAAUCCUACCAUCUAGAGUGUGACAUCAAGAAUCUGAGCUUCAUUAAGUCCUGAGACUGGGUGUGUAAUCUCAGUUGGAAGAUCAUGGGAUGUGGCCAGGUUCAAGGCCCGGACAUAUGAGUUCAAGUCCCAGUCUGAAGCGAAUGGAUUCAGUAUGACUCUUUUUCCUGAAUAUAAAGGAAAGAAAGCUGACAAUUACCAAUACAAAUAAAGGAAAUAAUAUAAAAAUGGGCUGAAAUCCCAGAGAUAACUAUUGUCAACAUAUUGCUGCAUAUCAUUCUAGAAUUUACAUAAAUAUAUUUAAAUAUUUGUAUAUGAAAAUAUGUAAUAUAUUUUUAAAGCAAAC